rnacentral:piRNA from 1 species
UAUUACAACAGUGUAGACAUGCUCUGAGGA